UACGUAGGUGGCAAGCGUUGUCCGGAAUUAUUGGGCGUAAAGAGCUCGUAGGCGGCUUGUCACGUCUGCUGUGAAAUCCCGGGGCUCAACCCCGGGCGUGCAGUGGAUACGGGCUGGCUAGAGGCAGGCAGGGGAGAACGGAAUUCCCGGUGUAGCGGUGAAAUGCGCAGAUAUCGGGAGGAACACCGGUGGCGAAGGCGGUUCUCUGGGCCUGUACUGACGCUGAGGAGCGAAAGCGUGGGGAGCGAACAGG
rnacentral:rRNA from 1 species